AAGCCUGACGGAGCAACGCCGCGUGAGUGAUGAAGGGUUUCGGCUCGUAAAACUCUGUUAUUAGGGAAGAACAUAUGUGUAAGUAACUGUGCACAUCUUGACGGUACCUAAUCAGAAAGCCACGGCUAACUACGUGCCAGCACCGCGGUAAUAC
rnacentral:rRNA from 1 species